rnacentral:rRNA from 1 species
AUUGAACGCUGGCGGCAGGCCUAACACAUGCAAGUCGAACGGUAACAGGAAGCAGCUUGCUGCUUUGCUGACGAGUGGCGGCCGGGUGAGUAAUGUCUGGGAAACUGCCCGAUGGAGGGGGAUAACUACUGGAAACGGUAGCUAAUACCGCAUAACGUCGCAAGACCAAAGAGGGGGACCUUAGGGCCUCUUGCCAUCGGAUGUGCCCAGAUGGGAUUAGCUAGUAGGUGGGGUAACGGCUCACCUAGGCGACGAUCCCUAGCUGGUCUGAGAGGAUGACCAGCCACGCUGGAACUGAGAAACGGUCCAGACUCCUACGGGAGGCAGCAGUGGGGAAUAUUGCACAAUGGGCGCAAGCCUGAUGCAGCCAUGCCGCGUGUAUGAAGAAGGCCUUCGGGUUGUAAAGUACUUUCAGCGGGGAGGAAGGGAGUAAAGUUAAUACCUUUGCUAAUUGACGUUACCCGCAGAAGAAGCACCGGCUAACUCCGUG